GACGAACGCUGGCGGCGUGCCUAACACAUGCAAGUCAACUUGACUGAAGGAGCAAUCUGACAGUAGAGUGGCGCAAGGGUGCGUAACGCGUAAGUAACUUGCCCCAAGGUAAGGAAUAACGUCGAGAAAUCGGCGCUAAUACCUCAUAAUGCAGCGGAUCCGCAUGGAUAUGUUGUUAAAGGUUUACCGCCUUGGGAUAGGCUUGCGUCUGAUUAGCUAGUUGGUGUGGUAACGGCACACCAAGGCUACGAUCAGUAACUGGUCUGAGAGGAUGAUCAGUCACACUGGAACUGAGACACGGUCCAGACUCCUACGGGAGGCAGCAGUGAGGAAUAUUGGGCAAUGCUCGAAAGAGUGACCCAGCAACGCCGCGUGGAGGAUGAAGGAUUCUAUAUCGUAAACUCCUGUGAGAGCAGACGAAAGACAGAUUAUAAUCUGGAUGACUGUAUGCUCAGAGGAAGCCCCGGCGUAACUA
rnacentral:rRNA from 1 species